GGCCGGUUAGCUCAGUCAGCUGAGCAUGGCGCUUACAACGCCAAGGUCGUGGGUUCGAUUCCCAUUCAGUCCC
rnacentral:tRNA from 1 species